rnacentral:rRNA from 1 species
CCUACGGGAGGCAGCAGUGGGGAAUCUUGCGCAAUGGGCGAAAGCCUGACGCAGCCAUGCCGCGUGAAUGAUGAAGGUCUUAGGAUUGUAAAAUUCUUUCACCGGGGACGAUAAUGACGGUACCCGGAGAAGAAGCCCCGGCUAACUUCGUGCCAGCAGCCGCGGUAAUACGAAGGGGGCUAGCGUUGCUCGGAAUUACUGGGCGUAAAGGGAGCGUAGGCGGAUAGUUUAGUCAGAGGUGAAAGCCCAGGGCUCAACCUUGGAAUUGCCUUUGAUACUGGCUAUCUUGAGUAUGGGAGAGGUAUGCGGAACUCCGAGUGUAGAGGUGAAAUUCGUAGAUAUUCGGAAGAACACCAGUGGCGAAGGCGGCAUACUGGCCCAUUACUGACGCUGAGGCUCGAAAGCGUGGGGAGCAAACAGGAUUAGAUACCCUGGUAGUCCACGCUGUAAACGAUGAGUGCUAGUUGUCGGCAUGCAUGCAUGUCGGUGACGCAGCUAACGCAUUAAGCACUCCGCCUGGGGAGUACGGUCGCAAGNUUAAAACUCAAAGAGUAGUAGCGNGNGAGAGCGACGACGACGACGAGGAGGAGGAGG